CCCUUAGAUGUCCUGGGCCGCACGCGCGCUACACUGAUACAAUCAACAAGCACCCAACCUUGGUCGAGAGGCCUGGGUAAUCUUGUGAAACUGUAUCGUGAUGGGGAUAGAUGCUUGUAAUUUUUCAUCUUCAACGAGGAAUUCCUAGUAAACGCGAGUCAUCAGCUCGCAUUGAUUACGUCCCUGCCCUUUGCACACACCGCCCGUCGCACCUACCGAUUGGAUGGUCCGAUGAAAUCUCCGGAUUGCCCGAUGCUGGCUUCACGGCCGGCUCAGGCGAGAAGUUGAUUAAAUCUUACUAUCUAGAGGAAGGUAAAGUCGUAACA
rnacentral:rRNA from 1 species